rnacentral:rRNA from 1 species
UACGGGGGGGGGCAAGCGUUUGUUCGGAAUUACUGGGCGUAAAGGGCUCGUAGGCGGCCAACUAAGUCAUACGUGAAAUCCCCCGGCUUAACCGGGGAACUGCGUCUGAUACUGGAUGGCUUGAGUUCGGGAGAGGGAUGCGGAAUUCCAGGUGUAGCGGUGAAAUGCGUAGAUAUCUGGAGGAACACCGGUGGCGAAGGCGGCAUCCUGGACCGAUACUGACGCUGAGGAGCGAAAGCCAGGGGAGCAAACGGG